UACGUAGGGGGCAAGCGUUGUCCGGAUUUAUUGGGCGUAAAGAGCGUGUAGGCGGCUUGGUAGGUCCGCUGUGAAAACUCGAGGCUCAACCUCGAGAUGUCGGCGGAAACCACUUGGCUAGAGUCCGGAAGAGGAGAGUGGAAUUCCUGGUGUAGCGGUGAAAUGCGCAGAUAUCAGGAAGACCAGUGGCGAAGGCGGGUCUCUGGACAGUUCCUGACACUGAGACACGAAGGCCAGGGGAGCAAACGGG
rnacentral:rRNA from 1 species